GUGGAACUUGGGGUGAGAAAUAUGCUGAAGAAUGAAAGCAUAUUUGAAUACAAGGAUGAAUGGGUUUCUAUCCUUAGUGGAACUCAAGAAGGUUCUUAUUUUUGGUUAUUUGAACUAUGGUCUACUAGCAUCACGAGCUGAAAUUCUUAAAGUUUCAAGAAACUCUACUAGUCCAUGCAUUUUGAAGGGCACUUAUGGUUACUACACAUAUGGGGGAGUAGCAUAUAAAGCUUCACCUUCACCAAAUGGUUCAAGUUUGAGAAAAUGCAAGGCAAUUGUGUGGAAGACACUUAAGUUAAAUGCACCAUGUAAAUACCAUACUUGUUCUUUUAAUGGUGUAUGGAAUG